GGGAAUGUGGCUCAGUGGUAGAGUGCUUGCCUAGCAUGUAUGAUGCCCUGGGUUUGAUUCCUCAGUACCA
rnacentral:tRNA from 1 species